AUGCAAGUGCAGGCGGCCGCUACCAUACGGCUUUGUCUUGCGGAUCAGGUCAUGUAUCAUGUCAUGAACGAAGAUUCUUCUAAGGGAAUUUGGGACAAGUUGGCAAAUCGUUAUAUGUCCAAGUCAACGACCAAUAAGCUGUAUUUGAAGCAAAAGUUCUAUGGGAUGAAGGGGUCGGACCUUGUGGAGCAUGUGAAUGCCUUUAAUCAGUUGCACACAGAUUUAGCUCGUCUGAAUGUGAAGAUUGAGGAUGAGGAUAAGGCACUACUUCUUCUUGUUUUGUUGCCACCGUCCUAUGAUUAUUUGGUCAUUACAUUGACACAUGGAAAGACAACCAUCAAUUAUGAGAAAUUCACUGCAGCAUUGCUUGGACAUGAGUUGAGGAAGCAAAAGAAUGCUACAGAGGAGAGUACUCAAGGUUUGGGGUUGGCAGUUAAAGGUUAUCAACUCAGGAAGGGACAAGAGGCAGAGAAGAAAAAGAAGAAAAAUGUGCAGUUCUACAGGUGCAAGGAGGGGAUGCCCAAAACUGGAGGGUGGGUCAAGUGA
rnacentral:rRNA from 1 species